GGGGGUUGAGACAGCCAAGUAAGUGUUGAUCUCUCAUUGCAGACAGCAUGUCUCCAGGAGGCGGCCAGCAGCGCUCACCUGUCUGCGUACAGCUAUAUCUCCGCAGUGGCUGCAGAAAGACUUGUACAGCGUGCUCCUACAGCGAGUGGCACACUGCUGUGUUUGCAUGUCAGGUUCACGUUCAUGGAGCCUAUUGGAGAGUCUCUCUCUCAGGUUCUAAUAUGUGUGGUGACUUCUACUAAAAUCCUUAGCCUCUCAGACAGGAAAGAAAUCUUGGAGGAAGUUCAGAUAAAAGCAACCAAGUUUUGGACUAUCACCCCCUUCAAGACUCAGAGAACUCCGUGGAGUUAGAGGACAAGUUGAAGGGUCCCAGGAUACUGCCCUGUGAUUGACAUGGCCGCUGUACUUCUGAACUCUCAGCAGCUCUGGUUGCUGUAAGACUUACACAAGAUUUAACUGUCGAUAUCCACCAUGGAUGAUAGGAAGGGCUUGUCGUUUUGUGUCUGGAUUAUUUCAUUUGACAGUAAUAUCUUACAGUCCUAUCUAGGAGGCCUCCUUGGUCAUUACUAGCUGAAUGGUCAUUACUCUGCUGUGUCAAUAGGCCAUAUUUUCUUUAUCAUUUCUCUAUUGAUAGGCAAGCAGAUAAUUUCAUGCCCUACCUGUUGUCAGUAGUGUGGCAAUAAGGUUAGGAAUUCCAACUUUUAAUGUACUGAUUUCAUUUUCUUUUGAUAUAUACUUAGAGUGGGCUUGAUUGAUCAUGUGGUAGGUCUACUUUUAGCUUUUUAAAAGAAA
rnacentral:lncRNA from 1 species